UUUUUUCUCUAUCUUUUUUUUCUUCCUCUUUCCAAGACAAACUAGAUAAGAUGCAGAUUGGAUCAGGCGAAGAUGUGAAUGACCUCAACUAUGAUUAUGACAAUGAACAGUGCGUAGCACGUGGUGGAAAUUGAUGGAUGGGAUGGUGGACAGCGGAAGGGAUAAUGAUGCAGCGGCGACGUGACUAAUGUGAACUGAACUCGAAACUCUAGAUGAACUAGACACUAAGACCAGCAACUCGACACGACGAUCUAACUGAUAAUUCAAUAAUGCAAACAAUGAAAAUAAAAUUGCAAAGGCUCAGACUGGCUAGGACAAAGGAUGAAUAGAUCUAACUUUUUUUUGUGGUUUUUUUCUUGGACAAUAGGUAAGAAAAUAAAUAUAAUCUAGGGAUGACUCGAAAUUCUCACCGAGCAACCUGAGCUCUGAUACCACUUGAUAGAGGCAAAGGUGUCCCAUCUUUCGAUGAGAUGAUGGAUUUUGCUUUGGUGGAAGUCGACUUUGACGCUCCGACUACGAGCGUGCGAGGACGUCGCGCCUUAGCAAUCGCUAAACUAACUCCGAGAGGUUAUUGACCACGUCGGAGCACGAUCAACCUGACCACGAGGGUCUGUUUCCUGCGAGCAAACGAAGAACAAGCAAGAAACUGAGAUUGCAAUCUGGAUAUUGCGAAUAUAAGAUGAAAGCUUUAUUGAUCAAGGUGGUGUUCUGUGACGCCUUUGUCUGGUCGUUGAACACAAACGAAGUACGCGAAGUUGCAGCUAUGGCGAACUUUUAAUCUAAACAAAACCCAAAGUCUAAACGAUGCCCUAAGGGCUGUAUAUAGGGAGGAAGAGGGGGGAAUUUCGUGGCCCUCUGUGGAGGGGUCCGAAAUCAACCCUAUCUCUUGUUUCCCCACACAUACGGAUUCUAAAAAUAGCCUAUACUUAUGUAUUUCGAAAUUACAUGGGCCUGGCCCAAUAAUAAGGUGACGCAGCACCUAGAAUAGCCUCGGGACGAAAUUUAUGAAGUGGCAUCUUGUAUAUUUCGUCCAAGGCUUCAUGCACCCAUUAUGGUGGCUUCAAAGUCCUGAAAUCAUCACUUGUAACUCCGUCCUUGUUCCCCUUGCGCAGGCCAUCAUCUCCAUGCUUGUUCUUGCUCCAAUGUUCAUCCUUCUCCAAGCUAGGCCCUUCAUUUGUAAGAAAAACAAAUAUAUCCAAUUUAGGCAGCAUCAUAUUCUCAUGAACAUUAGAAUCAUUACCAAGAAACGAAAGUACCUGGUAAUUAGUUAGCGUGCGCGAGCUCUAGUAAUUGGUCCAGUAUGUAUAGCAGCAGGGGCUGUGGGUGUAACAAUUGUAUUGAUGUCCUCAUCACUUCCACCCACCACUCCGUUUCCCACCUAAUUCUCACCAAUUUUUACCAGGCAUACCACCAUCACUUUCGCAUACCAUCACUGCUUUCCGUAACCACCAUUGCUUACCUGCUUCGCACUCCGACAAAUUUUUGACACGUUUUUGUUUUGAGAAUUUGAGUUGCGUUUUCUGUUUCUGAAUGCGUUUCCGCGACUUAGGGACGGUUCGACAUCAACAUCACUGCCGCUCAUCUUCGCCAUGGACUCUUCAUCAAUAAUACCCGCUCAACAAUUUUGACACCUUCAAUCGUAAGCAAGGACGGUAACCUUGACGACACUUUGUGUACUCCUUGCCAUUGCAUUGAUAACCCGAUAGCCCAUUUUGCGUAACUCUCCUAUCGAAACUAGCCAUUUGAAUAUUUUCGGCAACAUUACUUGUGCACAUUAGAGAUCAUUGCAUAUAUCAUCAUCGUGGUGUUAAUAUCUUGGUAUCAUCUCUUGUGUCACAAGAUUGUCAUAGCAUAUACACAAUUGCUAGCUUGGUUUGUGAAGUUUUGCAUAAGUGGCCAUCAAAAGAGCUCAACAGAGAAAGAGCCAAACAAGGUUUUAAGCAAUCGAGAAAGAAAAGCAAAGAGAUUUUUAAGCACGAACCAUAGCAUCAUACAACAUUAAGAUUGUCAUACUCGAUCAUCUUCGGUCAUAUCAUAGGAAUACCAUACAUAUAGCACACAAACCAUAGCAUCAUACAACAUUAAGAUUGUCAUACUCGAUCAUCUUCGGUCAUAUCAUAGGAAUACCAUACAUAUAGCAUACUUGGUAUAGAAGUCGUUGCAUUUUUUUCUUAGUAGGUUGUGCACAAGUUUCGUAUCCGCCUAUUGUGCAAUCCUGCUAGCAUCUCUAUAGUGUUGUGCAACGAGCAUUUUUCGUGGAUUCCACAUUUUGAGCUCAUUUUUGGUCGCACGACCCCAUUUAUCUAUUUGCGUGUGUUUUUCCAUGUGCCACAUAUUGCUAUUGGUCUACUUGUUGCAUUUGCAAAUUUGCGAAUCUUUUUCAAUAUCAUUGAGUCGUACUAACAAUUGCAUCAAAUUUUGUGCCACCAUCCUCACCAAUCUCCCCCCAAAGGCUUUAUUUGUGUAGGUGUGAGAACCGACAAGAAUUUGUACCAAUUGUGCUAUUUCCUUGUUACACAUUUGAGUGAUCAUUGAUCCAUCUCAACAUCGGUCAAGGUACAUUUGGAAUAAGUUCUUCUCUUUCUCCCACUCACAUAUUUGGUUGAAAUGAUGGAUAGUCCAAGUUCUUCUACCAACCCACUCUUCAUUGACCAAGACGACGACUCAAACAUCUACGUCACCAUGAGCCACCUCUUCGGUCCACAACGAGCUUUGCAUCAAGAACAGCGAGCAUUGAGCGAACACAUCUAAAAUUGCGCCACUGACUUACGCCUCUCCGAGCAACUUACAAGAGACUACUUCGACAAUAAGCUUGAUAAACAUAAACAAGAGAAGGACGCAGGAAUGGACAAGAUUCAUGCCUUGUUGGUCAACCGCUCUUCUACCACUUCGUCAUACUCAAGACGGAGCCACUCGAGUCGACACUCCAACGACCAUCUCUGGUUCAAGUACACCAACAUCGAACACUCUUCGACAAGCCGCACGCCAAGACCGUCAAGCAAACUGCAAUCCUCUACACAGAACCGAUCCUCAAGAGCAACUUCUAGCACAAUAACAUCGACAUCAUCAAAAUCAAUCUACCUUCACGCAAGCACAAGAAAGGCAACGUCUAUGCCAACAAGAGGAAGAGCGCACACGCCAAUACCAAGACGAGCAAGACACCAAAGAUUCCCAUCAACAACAACAACAACGGCGUGAAGCCCAAGAUCUUGAGGCGCAAUGUGCCCUCCACGACAUGAGUCACACCGUCGCCGAUCGCAACCGACAUACACGUGAGCAAGAAGAAGCACUUUGCGAAGAAGUCCAAGAGAGGUAUCAAGCACGAUUGCAUAGACAAGUUCCACAAGCUCCUCAAAAAGUCCCACAAGCUCGACAAGAACCUCAAGUCCGUCAAGAGCAACAAGAAAAUGGGAAUCCUCCACGACAAGAGCAACAUGAGGUUGACAACCCUCCUCAUCAAGAGCGACAUCAUCCUCGACCCCAACACAAUGAAGAGCAACGCUACGGCAACCUCAAGUUCACCAUGCCCAAGUUCACCAGAAGCAAUGAUCCCUAAGUUUACCUAUCAUGGGCAUUGAAGGUCAACAAGAUCUUUCGUUUGCAAAACUAUGAGGAAUAGAAGAAGAUCGCCAUGGCAUCCCUUGAAUUCCAAGAGUAUGUACUCAUUUGGUGGGAACAAGUCCUUGAGAGCCGAGAAGCAAGAGGUGAACCACCCAUCACAACAUGGGAUCAAAUGAAGGAUGUCAUGAGAGCGCGUUUUUCCCCAACAUACUACAGCCACGACAUCUUCAAGAAGCUCCAACUCCUCAAGCAAGGAACAAAGACAAUUGAAGAGUACUACAAUUAAAUGCAGAUUGCCAUGAUAGGAUCCAAUGUCAUGGAAGAUGAUGAGAAAACUAUGUCAUGUUUCUUGAAUGGGCUCAACCACACUACUCCAACCUCAUCAAGAUACCAAAAGCGGAAUGUCAAAUGCAAGAUGACUUCAAGUAUGCCAAGUUCUCUUCCAAGACCUACGCCUCCUCCUACAACCAAGCUUCAACGACUAUAACGACUCCUACCUCGACAAAAGAUUCACCAAGCAACGGCGAGAAGUUUAAUUACAAGAAGACUUCGAAAACUUCAAGUCACCUUCCUACUACAAGCAACUUCAAGCCGAGGGCUUCAUCAUCUACAACUCCCCCGGAUGAGACCAUCAAGACAAGUUCCAUCAAAUGCUUCACAUGUGGCGGCCCAGGACACAAGUCUUUCGAGUGCACCAACAAGCGCACCAUGAUCCUCAACGAUGACGGUACAUACGAUUCCAUGAGUGAAAGAGAAAUAGUUGCGCUUGAGAAUGUGGCCACGCACCGGCAAGUGAAUCAGGAUGAAGAUGAUCAAGUCUUUUGUGACAAAGAUUCGAGCCCCACUCUCGUUGUCUCCAAGGUCUUGACGCUUCAACAUCAACAAGACGAAGACCAAUGAUGUUCUUGCACACCAAGGCCGGCAUCAAUGGAAGGUCCGUGAAGGUCAUCAUCGACGGAGGGAGUUUCCAUAACUUGGCGAGUGAAGAAUUAUGUUCCAAACUCCAUUGGUCAAGAUGAAGCACCCACACCCAUAGAAGGUCCAAUGGCUUACCGACUCUGGCAAUAUUCAAGUGGAACAUAUGGUGCAAGUUUCCUUCAAGAUCGGAGCAUACGAAGACACUUUGGAGUGUGACGUCGCUCCGAUGUCCGUUUGCGACCUCCUUCUUGGACGACCAUGGCAAUUUGACCGAGGCAUCAUACACAACAGACGUACCAAUCACUAUAGCUUCAAGAUGAAGGGAAAGGAGUACGUGCUACGACCUACGUCUCCUAGUCAAGUGAUCUCCGACAAGCAAGCCACCCAUCAUGGAGAGAAAAGUGAGAAAGCGAACCACCACCAAGAGAGUGAGUGCCACAAGCCAAAAUUGAGUGCCUCCACGAUGAGAGACAAGAAAAACUUCGUGCUAUUUGCUACCAAAAGUGAGAUGAGAGAUGUGUGUGAGAACCCAUCAAGUGUUAUGCACUAUGUCCUAUUGUGCAAGGAAGAGGGACCUAAAACUAAAACCUCACACAAUCUACCUUUAGUGUUGUUUUCUUUAUUGCGGGAAUUCCAAGACGUAUUCCCCGAUGAGAUACCUCAGGGUCUACCUCCUCUUCGAGGCAUAGAACACCGCAUCGACCUCAUCCCCAGAGAACCUCUUCCUAACAAGGCUCCAUACCACGUCAAUCCCGAGGAAACAAAGGAGAUCCAACGGCAAGUACAACAACUCAUCAACAAUGGCCAUGUACGAGAAAGCUUGAGCCCUUGUGUCGUCUCGGUAAUCCUUGUCCCCAAGAAAGAUGGUACUUAUCGCAUGUGUUCCGAUUGCCGUCCUAUCAAUGCUAUCAUAGUAAGAUACCGUUACCCCGUUCCAUGCUUAGAUGAUAUGCUAGAUGAGAUUAGCGGAGCCACAAUCUUCUCUAAGAUUGAUCUUAAAAGUGGCUAGUACCAAAUCCUCAUACAAGAAGGUAAUGAAUGGAAAACUACAUUUAAGACCAAAUUUGGCUUAUAUUUUAUGCCAAUGGGUUUACCCGAAGCACCCGGUACUUUCAUGUGAGUCAUGCGUUUUGUUCUUCGCCCCUACAUUGGUGUAUUUGUUGUGGUCUAUUUUGAUGAUAUUCUUCUCUUUAGAUAAUCCCUCAAAGAUCAUGUCACCCAUCUUAGAACCAUUUUGCAACCCCUUAGGAACGCGCGCCUUUAUGCUAAUAUGGACAAAUGCCUUUUCGAUGUUGAUAAGCUUGUUUUAUUGGGUUUUGUAGUAUCUUCUAAGUGUGUGCAUGUAGAUAAAUCUCAGAUCAAUGCAAUUAAAACUUGGCCUAGGCGGAUUUUAUCAUAGAUUUGUGAAGGAUUUUAGCACCAUUGCUUUACCAUUGCAUGCUUUGAGUAAGAAAAACGCGCCUUUUGUGUGGGGACCAUCCCAAGACACCGCAUUUAAUGAGCUUAUGAAUUUUUUUACACAUGCUCCUUUGCUUGCAUUACCCAACUUUGAUAAACCAUUUGAGAUACAUUGCGAUCCUAGUAGUUAUGGCAUAGGAGGUGUGUUAAUGUAAGAGAAACGCCCCAUAGCUUACUUUAGUGAGAAACUCUCCGGAGCACAACUCAAUUACCCUAUCAAUGACAAAGAGCUAUAUGCUUUAGUUCGAGAAUUGCAUGUUUGGUAGCAUUAUCUCCGUCCUCAUGAGUUCAUUCUCCACACCAAUCAUAAAACAUUUAAGUAUCUUAAGGGUCAAACUAAGUUAAACAAGCGUCAUGCUAAGUGUAGUGAAUUCAUCGAGUCAUUUCCUUAUGUCAACAUGUAUAUAAAAGGUAAGGAAAAUGUUGUGGCAGAUGCGCUUUCCUGUAGAUGCAUGUUUGUUACCCAACUUGAAUUGAAUGUCAUUGGUUUUGAGCACAUAAAAGACUUGUAUUCACAUGAUCCUACUUUUGCUAUUCCUUAUGCGAAGUGUUUGACGCAUACAUCUUGGGAACCAUACUACCUCAAAGAUGAUUAUCUUAUAAGAGCUAACAAACUAUGUAUCCCCGAGUCUUCCCUUCGUUUGCUACUUUUGCAAGAGGCUCAUGGAGGUGGACUGAUGGGACACUUUCGAUGCGGCAAGACAUUCGCAAUGCUCUCCAAGAACUAUUUUUUGCCCAAGAUGUUCCGCGACAUCUCACGUUUCACCAACCGAUGCUUGACGUGUCGCAAAGCUAAGUCAAAAGCUCAAUCACAUAGUCUCUAUAUGCCACUUCCUAUUCCAUAUCACCCAUGGGAAGAUAUUAGCGUGGACUUUGUGCUUGGUUUGCCUUGACCUACCAUCGUCUCACCAAGCACCAAUAGAACCUAUGACACGAGCACGAGCUAGAGCUCUCGAUACCGAUGUGACAUCUCUCCUUAAUAAACUUCCAAAUGAAUCAUGUGAGACUUGGCUACUACCUCAAACGGAAAUGCUAUAUGUGCUCAGGUACCUAGAAGACCCUCUUAGAGAUGCUCGUUAAGACGGACAUGUACCCAAGUUCAUGGACGAGAGGAACCAUUGGAAUGAGUCGAGAACAGCUCCAAGGACCCAAACAUCCGGCUAGGACCCUGGACACCCGGCCCCUGGAGGUGUCUCCAGCCACAACGGCCAAACAAACAAGUCUACAGGGCCCGGACAUCCAGCAUUGAGCCUAGACAUCUGGACAAGCCCAUCCAGAGAGCAGAGGUACAAGCCCAUCAGCCCGGACAUCGGACCAAGGGCCCGGACAUCCGGCUCUUCCUGAGCCGCCGGACAUCCGACCUCCCACCCGGACAUCCGGACAAGCCUAUCUCAACAGAAGACCCAGCCUGACAGCCCUGACAUCCGGCCCCUCGUGAAGGGCCAAGCAUAGCAGGCAUGACAAGCAAGCAUGAAUGAGUAGGCACAUCAAGGCUCAAACAACUCCUACCCAUGCUAGUGGAUUUUUACUAAUUACUGUGGCAAAGAUAUGUCAUGCAGAGGAAUGGAAUCAACUACCGCAGCAUGUAACAGUUGAAUCGUUGUUGUCCUAAUGCAGUACAAGAGAGCAGGAGCGAGAGAGUGGGAUUGUAUCGGAGUGAUCAAGGGGGUUUGCUUGCCUGGCACUUAUGAAGGUAGCAUUUUGUCUUCAUCAGUGACAUCGAUCUCAACGUAAGAAAACGUCUACCCAGUGGGAGCAAACACCGGCAACACAGAAGGAGCACAAUCAAUUCAAUGCAACAAUAUGAUGCAUGAUCAUGACAUGUCAGUAUGUUGCUGAUUGGGCUAAUGCAACUAGCAACCAGAUUAAAUGAAGUUGGUUUGAACCAAAGGUUCAAAUUCAAACUCCAUAUGUGAUUAUUCAAAUGCCAUUUAAUUGAUUUGACCUAAUCAGUAGGUUUAACUUGCUUUAACAUGAAUGCAAAUAGUAUCAUUGGAUAGAUUGGAUCUGAUCAUUUUUCAUAUGUAAAUUAUUUUCAUUCAGGUUACGAUUUAUUUUCUAUGGUUUUUAGAAGGUUAGGACAUUUUCUAAAAAUAAAUAAAUCAUUUCUGAUUUAUUUAAAAUCCCAGAAAAGCUUUACUGCGUUAGUAGUAUGUCACAAUGAUAUCAGCAGGUCAACUAGGUCGCACAGGGUCAGACCUGACCAAUGGGGCCCACUAGUAAGUGACCUGGUGUUAGUUAGUGACACAAACUGGUGGGUCCGGUUAAUGGCCACGUCAGCUUAGUCAACCUCACGUGUGGUUUCGCUAGUUUUGUUAAUUAACCUAACCUACAAACUAAACAAUGGCUAAUUAGACAGUAGGGCCCACUGUCAGUGUCUAAGGGGGUUAAUUAGCGGGUGAUUAGCCCCUAACAAAAUGGCCAUGUCAGCGGUUAACCGCCUGUGACACACAGACGAGGCGGUGCCGCUCGUCUCGAUGAUGAGAGGAGGCGGGGAUGGGCUCUACAGCUGCAGCGUGACGAGGCGCGUCGGGUGGUGGUUGUGUGUGAUGCCCGUGCAGAGAACAAUGGCGAUGACAAUGAUGAUAGCGGUAGCCGGAGCAUGACUGUGCACGUGCGUGGUGCUACAACUUCAGGGCGAGCAAACAAAGGUACUAGGCGGCGCCUAAGGGGCAGCAGGAGCACGCCAGAGCAACUGGUUGGAGCGGAGGGGCUCGGGAGCAUGUACCUCGCCGGCCAUGGCGGACGACGGCUUCGGGUGCUUGCGAGGCGGUGGCUAGCACGCAAAUUAAAGCACAUAGAGAGAUGGGAAGGGGGCAGAGGCUCACGGUGAAGACGAUGAGCAGGUCAGUGAGAUCGAGUGAGGCUGGAGCUGAGCGAGACGAUGAGGCGGGUCUUCGGCGGCCGAGGACGGGGACGGUGUUGAGGGCGGCGCUUCGGGGCCCUUCCGGUCGCGUUGCUUGGUGAGGAGAUCGAGGACGAGGUGGAACAACUCGGGGACAACUUAGGGUGGCACGGGGAGCAUGGUGGACGCGGUGACAGCGAGUGGCAAUGAUGCGCGAACUCGGUUAGUGAGAGGGAGGGUCAUAGUGGGGGGAGAGGCACCGGGAGAGCGAGAGAUGGUCGAGGGGGGUGUUGUGACUUCACCAUGGAAGGCUAGGGCGAAGCGGCAAGCAGGAGGUGCCCGUCGGUGGCCGUGCGCAUGUUGACGUGCCGUGGGCACACGCCCUCGUGCCCACUAGCACGAGGUUAGGGUGACUAGCAGGUGGGUUGGGCUAUGAGCUACAGUGUUAGGCCGUCUACAGGAGUAGUCCAGGUAAGUGGUUGCCAGGUAUCUCUCUCUCUCUCUCUCUCUUUGUUUUUGUUUUCUAUUUCUGCUAUAGUUUUGAGCUUAGGAAAAAUACCAAGGCAUCUCCUAAUAUCCUGAAAAUAUUCACGGACACUUGCUGAAUUAUUUUAGUGGCCCACAAAUAGUUCCAGCAUUAUUUGAGCAUUUCAAUUAUUUAUAGCAAUUAAAUGUCCAAAUUCAAAUACAAUAUGAUUUAACUCAAAAAUCUAGAGUGGCCUAGAAAAAAUGUGCACCAUUUUUGGCAGGGGUUCUAGACCAAUUCAAAAAUGAUGAACUUUUGCGAAUGGCAUUUUGGGUCAAUUGAAAUCAUUUUAAUUUGAACCUAGUAUUUUAGAGGGGUGGUAGGGUUUGAUCAAUCCCCAUUUCAAGUUUAACAAAAAAUUAAACAUGAUGAAUGGAUGCUUAUGCAAAGAUAGACAAGGUUAAUGCUAGGGUUGUGACACGGUCAUCCCGUUGAUGAUAUGGAAUGAGGCGCAUCCCAUGUGUUGGUUCACCCCUGAUAUUCACAGGCUAUAGAAAGCAGUGAAGAGUGCCACCGAAGGCAUCACUCCUAGGAAGGCCUCACAACGGUAGAUGAAGAUGGAGAGGAUGACGAUGGAGUUGGGUUGAAGAUGAACCAGAUGGAUCUGGUAAUGGUCGAGGAUGGCACAGAGGAAACUGGAGAAGGGUGGCACCAAGCAUGCAAAGAAGGAGUGGAAGAAGGAAACUGGUAAUUGUCGUGGCCUCUAGGUCGCGAGGCAAGCGCAAGCCCAACCAGAUCCCAGUGGCCUUCCACCUGUUGUGGUCACAGGACACCAUGGGACGCACCUUGCCUAGCCCCUCUUCACUGAUGAUGGUGAUCCUCGACAAGCCGGGCUCCAACUUGUCGACAGCGGGCUUCUUGUAUGCCUUGGGAGCGAUGGCAGCGGAAGUGGAUUGGGGGUUGUAGAAAGAGGAAGUAGAUAGCAAUGAGAAGGAGAGGUGAGGCAUGCGAUGGAAGACAAAUGAUGGUGUCUACGCCCCACACGGGUCUAUUUUAUGGCAGGGCUAGCGGUUAUCAAAGCGUCAUGGGGAAGUGGGGGCGUCCCUGUCCCAUUGUGCUGCCACACGUCCCUACCUGGGCCCAGCAGUUCGCUUAGGGCCCGCAUCAUUUCAUUCCUAACAGGCGGAUACAUGCGAGUCGCGGGCCCGGGGGCUACUAUCGGCCUAGUGGGAACUAGGAUACAACGGGCCCACAGCCUAUGGCCCAGGAAUUGACACUAGGAGCAAGCCACAAGAGGCGGCCCGACCAUGGGUGCCAUGAAGCAAGACGCCUUGCGAGGACCCCCGCCACGAGGCGGGGCUCUACGGAGGACAGCGGUAAACGGCAUCACGGGGCCCCCCUCACGAGCCGAUCUCCCGCAAGGCCCUUCGCGUGGGAGGCUGUGUGGUGCCAGUUGUGUGGUCAUGUGCCCAUCACGUGGGUGAAGCGCCCACGCUAGGUGAUGCUAGCGAAGACUGUGCCAGUAGGCGUGGCCAGGGCAGGUUUCCUCUUUGGUGAUAAGGGAGCAGCGUCGUCUGCCUCCCCAUAAAGCCAGCUCCGUGGCUUACAACUUCGAUACAAGAAGAUCAGGAUGACACAACACGCUAGGGCAGGUAUCAUCGCUGAGCCCACCCGUGCGUUAGGAUAGCUUCUUUAGCACGCGAUGACCACCUUUUGUCAGGUAAGACUGGGUGCCUGUCCCUUUGAAUUGAUGUGUGUGGCAACUAUCCCCGCCAAUAUUUUUGGGGGAAGAGGACCAAGGCGACUAUAAAAGGGGAAGUGCCAUCACCGUAGAGGGGAGGGGUGGUCAUGGAAUCGAUCCUUGAGAGCUUUACCUUGUAGCUCAUGAUCUCUGUCUCCACAAGCAAUCGCUCCAAGAAGGAGUAAGGUUUUACACUACAUGGUGGCCCAAACCUGGGUAGCUCAUUGUGUCCCUAUCGUACCUUGCUUGGCGUAGCCUUGCCAAGCUCGUCAUUUAGUUGCUAGGUCGUGAACCAGGGCCCUAGAGUCAGAACAAGGGUUUUGGAGGAUUUCCCGUAGCACAAAUCAAUCCCCUGACAAAAAUUCCUCAGGUUAUGGUUUAUGGAGCAAUAUUCAUUUAUUGGAGAAAAUCCCUAUUCGCAUUAAAGGUGAUAAACACUUUCCAUAAAAGAAUUAAGCAAGAAAGCUAAAGAAACUAUUGUCGCCGCGCUUCCAGAGGGAACAACGGUGUUCCAUGCCACCGCGGGCACUCUCAUGAGUGGUCAUUUGGCGUGAUGUCACCUCUGGGAGAUCAAUUAGUUACCCCAUUGAAGCAGAUCAUGGGUCAGAUAUACAGUGACUCUAGAAACACAUCUAGAAGGAAGAACCCUUGCCAUCGGAGCCCAUCCAGUGGGAGGAUCAACACGGAGUAGGAGGGGAUUCCUCUCAUCAGGAGGGAAACAAAGUCAUCAUUGAUUGCUUGUAUCUGCGUUUGUAUCUCCCCGAAGAGGAUAUGAUGAUGUAGUACAGCAAAGGUAAGUAUUUCCCUCAGUUAUGAAACCAAGGUAUCAUCCAGUAGGAGAACCAAGCAACACUACGUAAACAUCACCUGCACACAAAAAAUAACAACUUGCAACCCAACGCAUAAGAGGCGUUGUCAAUCCCUCCUCGGUGUUGAGAUAGAUUAAAUUGUAUGAGAUUUGAUAAAUAGAUCUACCAAAAACACAAAAUAAAAUAAAUCAUGACAAUAUCCAAAGCAAAGAUCAUGUAUAUAGGCAUCACAUCCAAGAUUAGUAGACCAAAAUGAUUCUGCAUCUACUACUAUUACUCCACACAUCAAUCGCUAUCCAGCAUGCAUAUAGUGUCUUAAGUUCUUGGAAAAACAGAGUAAUGCAAUAAGAACGAUGAAUGAUGUACACAAGAUCUAUUCAUGUAGGAAUAGACCCCAUCUUUUUAUCCUUAAUACCAGUGAUACAUUUGUGUCAUGUGUCUUUCUGUCACUAAGAUUGAGCACCGCAAGUUCGAACCCAUCACAAAGCACCUCUUCCCAUGGCAAGAGAAAUGAAUCUAGUUGGCUAUAACAAUCAUGCAUAAAAGAGUUCAUCAAAGAAUCAAAUAAUAUUCAUGGAUAGAACUGAUCAUAAACCAACAAUUCAUCGGAUCCCAACAAACACACCGCAAAAAGUCAUUACAUCAAAUAGAUCCCCAAGAACAUCGAGGAGAACAUUGUAUUGAAGAUCAAGACGAGAGAAGAAGCUGAUGAGGACAUCAAUACCAUUGUUACACCCACAGACCCUACUCCUACAUAUACUGGACCAAUUCCUAGAGCUCACGCACGCCAAUUAAAUUAUCAGGUACUUUCGUUUCUUGGUAAUGAUUCUAAUGUUCAUGAGAAUAUGAUGCUGCCUAAAUUGGAUACAUUUGUUUUGCUUACAAAUGAAGGCCCUAGCUUGGAGAAGGAUGAACAUUGCAGCAGGAACAAGCAUGGAGAUGAUGACAUGCGCAAGGGGAACAAGAACGGAGUUACAAGUGAUGAUUUCAGGACAUUGAAGCCACCAUAAUGGGUGCAUGAAGCCUUGGACGAAAUAUACAAGAUGCCAGUUCAUAAAUUUCGUCCCGAGGCUAUUCUAGGUGCUGCGUCACCUUAUUAUUGGGCCAGGCCCAUGUAAUUUCGAAAUACAUAAGUAUAGGCUAUUUUUAGAGUCCGUAUGUGUGGGGAAACAAGAGAUAGGGUUGAUUUUGGACCCCUCCACCAAGGGCCACAAAAUUCCCCCCUCUUCCUCCAUAUAUACAGCUCUUAGGGCACCGUUUAGACUUUGGGUUUUGUUUAGAUUAAAAGUUUGCCAUAGCUGCAACUUCGCGUACUUCGUUUGUGUUCAACGACCAGACAAAGGCGUCACAGAACCCCAUCUUGAUCAAUAAAGCUUUCAUCUUAUAUUCGCAAUAUCCAGAUUGCAAUUUCAGUUUCUUGCUUGUUCUUCGUUUGCUCACAGGAAACAGACCCUCGUGGUCAGGUUAAUCGUGCUCCGGUGUGGUCAAUAACCUCUCGGAGUUGGUUUAGCGAUUACUAAGACGCGACGUCCUCGCACGUUCAUAGUCUGAUCGUCAAAGUCGACUUCCACCAAAGCGAUAUCCAUCUUCUCAUCAAAAGACGGGACACCUUUGCCUCUAUUAAGUGGUAUCAGAUUUCUAGGUUGCUCGGUGAGAUUUUAUAGUUUUUCGUAGUUUAGAUCGACUCUGUUCUUCAUACCUAUAGUCCACGAAAAAGCCUAUAAAAAAUUAGGGUUAGUUCAUCCUAUCCGAACCAGUCUGAGCCUUUGCAUAGUGGUUUCAGUAUUUUGCUUUGUUGAAUUUGUGGUUGCAUCGUCGCGUCAGGUUGCUGGUCUUAGCGUCUAGUCUUUUAGAGUUUUGAGUUCUGGUCAUAAGUUGUCACGCCGCCGCCGCAACAUCGUCAUCGCUCCUGCCAUCUACCACCACCGCUGAUCUGCCACUGCUCUGAAUCCAUAUCCAUAUACCACCAUCAAUCCGUAUCCAUAUAACACCACCGACAUGUAUCCAUAUACCACCACUGCUACCAUAUACCACCACCGCUGCCAUAUCCUACUACCAUAUAUCCACCACUAAUCCGCGUCCUUUCCAUAUUAGGUUUGUUUUCGAGAUACUUUUGUUUUCUGAUUCGUGUUUCCUUGCCUGAGUAGGUUUCGAAAAAAAGAGUUUGGAGACCCCCGGGCAGUUUUUAGGCCAAAAUUUCGGCGACCAAAAAUAUUUUUUUCCUAUCCUAUUUUUAGGCUUUUCUGAGUCUUUUGAGACACUCGCCAUCAUAGUGAUUUUUUGUCGCACUUUUUUGUUGUCGCUGCCCUGAUUUUAGAAAAAAAAUAGCCAAAAAAAUUUCGUGCCAAUCCUGUCAGUUUGACCUGGGAAGCGUUUUGAGACACUCGCCAUUAUAGUGAUUUUUCGCAAAAAAAAGAGCGCCAAAAAAAAGAGCGAUUUUUUUUCCAUAGUGUGCUUCUCCGUUGUUUACGUGCAGAGCCGUGAUUUUGUUAGUGUUCUAGGCUCGCGUCUCUAGUACGGUCUAGCCUAGGACCAGCACAGUACCAUCAUUGAGCGUUCAGUCAACUUUGCAUAUCUGAAUUGAUUAUUGCUGACCCUUUUUGCUACCGUAUUAUAAGCCUUCCCAGCUCCACAUACAUCUACGUCGUGCGUUUGACUCUCCCUGGUAAUAGCUCUAUCCAAGCUUUGAGAGUUUUGUCUAAAACGGUUGCUGCUCACCACCUGCUGCUUGGUAAGAACUGGUAAGAAUUUGAGAUUUGCUUGACGGAUUUGUGACACCCACCACCACCACCACUUGUUAGUAGUCUAUAGGAUCAUAUUCUUGUGUGUUUCUAUUGUUGCUAACCAUGCAAGGAUCACAAGCCGACGAGAUUGACUGGGAGAAUUUAACGAACAAGGAGCUUCAUGAUAAGUUUCAGCAAAUGAUGACUGAACAGGUGCAAGAUGUGCUGAACAAUUUUGAAGAGGCCAUGGAGAAGAUCACUGGCCUUGAGAAGACGUUCAAAACAAAGCUCGAUAACAGAUUUAAUGAACUGCUUGCGCGUCUUCCACCACCGGCUGCACCUGCCGCACCUCUGCCACAACAACAACAACAACAUCGACUACCUCCACGUCACGAAACAGCCCUCCGCCGAGCAAGCUGUGUCCUUCUUCAUCCUAGCCAAACUAUUGGUGCUGCUGUUGAUACUUCUGUGGCUCCUGCAGCUGAUGCGGAGGAUGAUUUUGCGGGAGAUUACGAGGAUGAGGUUGAUCAAAAUCAGAACUACGUGCAACCACCAGCACCACAACCACCAGGUCGUCCAAAUGCAAAUAAUGGCAAUGGUAGGGCUCCCCCUUAGGUACGAGAUCAUGACCAUCUCCCUAAACAGAAAUUGAAUAUUCCACCAUUUGAGGGUAGUGUCGUGGUUCUAAGCCUGACAGUAGAAAGGGGGGUAGGUAUGGAGAGGCAAGAUCUUAGCUAUAGCGAAGAUGUACACGCGAUGUUUACGAGUUCGGGCCCUUCUCGGAGGAAGUAAUAGCCCUACGUCUCGGUGCCUGGAGGCGGUUGAUUGGAUUAUGUGUGUUGGAUUACAGAGUGUGCGAACCCCUGUCUCGGAGGAGGGGGGCGGCUUAUAUAGAGUGCGCCCGGACCCCAGCUCCCCUCCAUUACAAGGGGCUUAAUGUACAUAAAGUAAGGGCGUAACUGGUAAUGCCAGCAUUUAGUACUCUUAAUGCUCAUGAAGACUAAGGAGUAAAUAUCUGGUCGUUGUAUGCUUUUGCGGCUUCUGGUCUUCGAUAUGAUCGAGUGAUCUUCCUUGUAGUCGAGUGACGACAGGUAACGAUCGUCGAGUGGUGUGAACGUCGAGUGGAUUGCACUCGACGUACGGGACUGGUGUUCUUCCGUUGACUCUUGGCCUUUCCAUCUUCCAGGGUAGUGACCUUGGGUAGGACGUAUAAGUCGAGCCUAUGACCCUACCCCGGGUCUGUAUCCUCGUCAGUAGCCCCAGAAUGGAUUAAGGUAUGAGAGGAAAGUAAGACAGCGUUGGACCUGUCCUAUGCUUCGUGUCUCCACGAGUGUUUCCUGUUAGGCUGAACGCCUGCGUUGAUACUUCGGAGUCGACUCGCUUGCCUUGAUCCAUUCAUGAAGUCGUCGACUCGACUGGUGGCCUCAUGCGUCGAGUGUCAUGUGGGAGCGUGAGAUCUCGGGCAAGAUUGUCUGCGAGGAAUCCCGGAUUCUGCGGGAUAUGAAAUUUCGGAAGAGCGCGCGGGUAGGAGGGCGCCAAAAAAGGGGAACUCGGACGAGUCGAGACGCCUCGAUUAUCGCGCCGCCUUUUUCACCAUGUUCGCUGCGCACAACUGUAGCAGGAUUUGACGGGAUUGCCCGGCCCCACGCGUCAGUCACAUGGAAGUGAGCCUUUAUAAGGCGACGGGGCCGGGGUGCUUGCACUGUGCACGCCCGCCUCUUCUUCUUCUUUCUCCGCUCCUUUGCCAAACCAAGCGCUUCCGCCUCCGACGUCACUGCUUUCCGACCAUGGUGAAGGACAAGACGGCAGCGCUAGAGUGCGCCAAGAAGGCGACGGGGGCGGCGAAGGACAAGAAACCAAGCCGCGGAUCGUCAUCGCGCUCGGGGUUGCCGCCAGGCUGGAUCCAAGGUGAUUGGAUCCGGUCUUCGAUCCGGCAGGAGGAUCUGAGCGAGCUGGAGGAGACCGGGCUGAUUGCAGAGGGAGCGGCGAGGCUGCCGAAGGGAGAGACGGAGCGGCAACCUUGACAGGGUGAGUGUGUCUUGCUCGCCACCCAUGUCGACCGGGGCUUCUCGCUUCCUCCGCAUCCUUUCUUCCGAGGGUUUUUGAACUUUUUCGGGGCACAGCUCCAUGACUUUUCCCCCAACACCAUCACGUAUCUAGCCGCGUUUGUGUCGAUGUGUGAGAACUUCUUAGGGUGUCGACCGCACUGGGGUCUAUUCAAACAUAUCUUCACCAUUCGUUCCCAGUCGGUUAAGAAGGCGAAGUCAAGUGACUCGAAAACCCAUGUUAUCCAAAUGUGCGGGGGUUUAGGUAUCCAAAAGAGGAAUAGGAGUGCUUUCCCCGCCAUGAUCCUCCCUGAAUCCGUCAGGGGCUGGCAAUCGACCUGGUUCUACUACCAGGACGUGGCGACUCCGGGCCAGUCGACCGGUCUUCCUCCUUUUUCAUUCGACCAUGUCCAGACUCCUGCUCCACUGAAGGUUACUGCUGCCGAGACCAUGGAGACGAGGAUGUUAGUGGACCGAGUGGUCCAGCUCAUCAAUGAUGGUGUCACUGGAAUGGACUUGCUGGAGGUGUUCCUCGCUGGGUGUAUCCAGCCUCUCCAGUCUCGUGACCACCCGAUGUGGUUGUACUCUAGGCCGAGCGACUCCACUCGGGUCCAUCCAGAAGAAGUGCCGCUCGGCACCGUGGCCUUGUGGUUGAAGGGUAUCACGGGCAAUCAAGAUAACCCUAGAGGAUACAAGUGAGUCACCCCUUUCGAAAGUGACAACCUACCCGACAAGGUACUUUCUUCGUUCCGACUGUUUUCCGCUUGCAUUCCGACUGUGUUUGGUGUUGACUGACUCUUGUUUUGGCCAACUUGCUUUGCAGGUAUUCACAGAGAUGUACUUGAUGCCCAACGGCGAACAGGCUUUGACUCAGGACCAGGAGGGGGAGGACAACGCAGAGGAGAGUGGCGAAUGGGAGUCCUCGGAAGAGGAGGAGGAGGAGGAGAGCGAGGAGUCGGACGAGGAGGAAGAGGUCGACUCGCCGCCACGCUCUGAGCAUCGUUCCAAGCAGCAACACGAUCGAUCCGGCGGUCGAGUGAAGAGUGUGGCUCCAGGCGCCACCACCCAGAAGCGCAUUCGGACGUCGACUCCGGAGCCGACGGAGAAGGUGGCUAAACAUCCUAAAGUCGCCCCUUCCAAGACCCGUAAGACGCUGCCGCGCAUCAAGAUGGACGUCCCCGUUGCCUCAGGGUGGGUAUCUUGUUUGCGUUUCUAUAAGUCGACUGAAGGUUUUCCCGAUCCGACCGACUAGUUCUUGUGUCUUUUCAGCCCCACCUCCACUGCCACUGAUAUGGACAUUGACAAGGCACCAGAAGACGAAGAAGCCACCUCACGGGCUGGUAAGUUCAUUCAACUCAGUCCUGUUCAACCGAGUGGGUGGUCGAUUGACUGAAAAAUUGGUGCUUCUAUUCUUAUGUAGCUCCGCAAGAUAUCAUUGUGCUUCCUGAUGACGAAGAGGAAGAAGAAGCCCCACAAGAGAGGAAGAAGAAGAGUGGAGGUUCGAGCAGAAGGAGACUUGAAGUCCAAAUCCCUCAGUCGACGCCGGCACCCGAGGCGACAGCUCGGACGAACGUCACAUUUGCCAACCUGUUGACGACUGAUCGUCCGUCGGGGUCGACUGCACAGACGCCUUCAGCACUGGUGCAACUCCAUUCGUCUGACCCGGCCGCUGCUUUGACUCCCUUAGAGCCAUCCCUUUUUGCUACAUAUCAGACUCCGGACGAUUCACCAAGUGCCGCUAGGGAAGCUCUUCGCCAGGCAAAUCUUAUUAUGGAGCAGGUGAAGGUGAUGCAUGAGGCUAGUCAGAUAGCCUACAAUGCCAGCACUGCCCUUCAGACCAACGUUCAGGUUAGUAAACUUCCGACUGAACUUUUGAACGUUGCUUUAUAUCUGAUCCCCCACUGGGUGUUCCUUCAUCUAGAACCCAAGAAAUCUCUGAUUUUGCACUUUCCGAAUCAGUGGGGACACAUCGAGUGCACCCACUGGGUGUAGUCCCCGAGACCACGAUCGACUGCUGGGAGUCGACUGAGGUCUAAUGAGUGUUGGUUAUUCUACCUUUUUUACUGAGUAUUGAUCUGAUCCAGUGGGGGCACGCUAAGUGCACCCACUGGGUGUAGUCCCCGAGACUACUGUUGAAAACUUGAUUCGACAGUAGUCCUAGAAUAAUUCUUUGCUUCCACUCGGCUCUGCGAUCUGUCGACUGAUAUGUUCUGUCUUUCAGGUUGUAGAGGUCUUGUGAUCUUGGAGCUCGGCUCACCGAGUUGAAGAAGAAACAUAUCAGCGUUGAACUUGACCUUGAACUUGCAAUGAAGAAUCUGAAGAAAGCUCAAGAAGAAACAACCAUCAUGGGAGGUAAUCACUCGAACGUUUUGUCUGCUUUGUAGCUUUUCACUUGGCACUGGCUUUUCUUUCAGUCUCUUUGAACCGGGUGAAUUCGCAUAAGCAGAUGUGCAUAGUGAAAAUCGCCAACUCCAGUCUCGUCUGAGGAGUGUUGUUUCUUUAGAGAGGAUGAAGGAAGCUCUGGAGCAGAAGGAUCUGGACCUUGCAGCUGCUCAAAAGGAAGCGCGCGAGAAGACGAACCUUGCGGACGAGAAGCUGGCUUCAGUCGGCAAGUUGGAGGAUGAGAAUGCGACAUUGAAGACGGCUGUCUCGGACGCUAACCGGGAGGUUGAGCAACUGCGGAAGGACAAGGAGAACUUGACCGCUGAAGUGGAAGGCCUCAGGACUAAGACUAGCAAGCUAGAGUCUCAUUUGGAACAACUCGCGGCAAAGCUUGUUGAUGAGGACAUCAAUACCAUUGUUACACCCAAAACCCCUACUGUUACAUUUACUGGACCAAUUACUAGAGCUCCCGCACGCCAAUUAAAUUACCAGGUACUUUCGUUUCUUGGUAAUGAUUCUAAUGUUCAUGAGAAUAUGAUGUUGCCUAAAUUGGAUAUAUUUGUUUUGCUUACAAAUGAAGGGCCUAGCUUGGAGAAGGGUGAACAUUGGAGCAAGAACACGCAUGGAGUUGAUAGCUUGCGCAAGGGGAUCGAGAACGGAGUUACAAGUGAUGAUUUCAGGACUUUGAAGCCACCAUAAGGAGUGCAUGAAGCCUUGGACGAAAUAUACAAGAUGCCACUUCAUAAAUUUCGUCUAGAGGCUAUUCUAGGUGCUUCGUCACCUUAUUAUUGGGCCAGGCCCAUGUAUUUUCGAAAUACUUAAGUAUAGGCUGUUUUUAGAGUCCGUAUGUGUGGGGAAACAAGAGUUAGGGUUAGUUUCGGACCCCUCCUCCAAGGGCCACGAAAUUCCCCCCUCUUCCUACAUAUAUACAGCCCUUCGGUCGUCGUUUAGACUUUGGGUUUUGUUUAGAUUAAAAGUUUGCCAUAGCUGCAACUUCGCGUACUUCGUUUGUGUUCAACGACCAGACAAAGGCGUCACAGAACCCCACCUUGAUCAAUAAAGCUUUCCUCUGUUAUUCGUAAUAUCCAGAUUGCAAUCUUAGUUUCUUGCUUGUUCUUCGUUUGCUUGCAGGAAAUAGACCUUCAUGGUCAAGUUGAUCGUGCUCCGGCGUGGUCAAUAACCUCUCGGAGUUGGUUUAGCGAUUGCUAAGGUGCGAUGUCUUCGCACGUUUGUAGUCGGAUCGUCAAAGUCGACUUCCACCAAAGAGAUAUCCAUCAUCUCAUCGAAAGAUCAGGACCCUCCUCUCUAUCACUUGUCCUGAAGCUUGAAGGUACGUCUGUCCCGUUAAAUAACUAUCAUCGACUGAGAUUUGUAGUACUGUUGACUCAUGGUUUGUUGUGGUGAAAAAAGAACUUUGUCAGGACUUCGAGGCCGAAACUGGACGGGUCGAGACAGGUCUCAACCCUAUCAACUGCCCCAUGAAAGAUGAAGUUGCGAUGAACUUGCUCCGACUGGAAUCACGCUUGAAUGAUGCAGUUGACUAUCUGGCUCGGCUGAAGAAGGUGAUGACCCGAGUGGAUGCUGAGCUCUGGCCUCGGGAGGAACUGUCGCAAGACCUUCAGUCCUUGAUGGCUCGGCUAAAUCAGAUUCCAAGUCGUGUACAAGAGUGGAAGAAAUCCUCUGCCCGCUGUGGUGCUGAUGUCGCUUUAUCUCUGGUCCGAGUCCACUGCAAGGAAGCUAAAGAGGAAAAGUUGGCUGCUCUCAAAGUGGCGAACACAAAGAAGCACUCCUUCCAGGAUUUCAUGGACACUUUCCUAGAGGCAGCCACUCGCAUCACCGACACCAUCGACCUCGACAGCUUCUGCGACCCGGCCAGUCCUUCUCCCACGAGUAAUCAAAAGAAAAACAUUAUGCUUAUCACUUUUAUUUUCCUCGGAAUGCCGAGUGAAUUUGUAACCGUUAAAACUCAUUCGAGCCUGGCGCUCAAGCACUUUAUUCUGCGGUUAAGAAACUUUGGAUUUGUCACCUCACACACUGCAUCUGUCUUCGAAUGAAAUUCGCCUUUCUAUCGAAUUAUUGUCCAUUUGCUUAAUGCUGCUUCUGUAAGAGGGUGGCCAGUCGCCUGAUUGAGCAACCUUUGAGUUGCAUUGAUCAGCUCAUCAGCAAGGUACUCAGCUUCUGGAGAAGGAUAGCCAGUCGACCGGUUGGGUGAUCCUUGAGUGGCAUUGAUCAGCUCAUCAGCAAGGUACUCAACAAUGGUCUUGACGUUCCAGUCGACCGGUUGGCUGAUCCUUGAGUAGCAUUGAUCAGCUCAUCAGCGAGGUACUCAGCUUCUGGAGAAGGACGACCAGUCGCCUGAUCGAGCAACCUUUGAGUAGCAUUGAUCAGCUCAUCAGCAAGGCACUCAACAAUGGUCUUGACGUUCCAGUCGACCGGUUGGGUGAUCCUUGAGUAACAUUGAUCAGCUCAUCAGCGAGGUACUCAGCUUCUGGAGAAGGACGACCAGUCGCCUGAUCGAGCAACCUUUGAGUAGCAUUGAUCAGCUCAUCAGCAAGGCACUCGGCAAUUGUCUUGACGUUCCAGUCGACCGGUUGGGUAAGGUUUUUGAAACUUAGGCAAGUACAAGACUGCGGCUAAGCCUCCCGAGUGAAAGGAUUGCUCUUCACUCAGUGAGAUAUUUCAAACUUAGGUGAGUACGAGACUGCAGCUAAGCCCCCGAGUGGGAGGAUCGCUCUCCACUUGGUGGGAUUCUUCAAACUUAGGCGAGCAUUGGGCUGCAGCUAAGCCCCCGAGUGAGGAUCGCUCUUCAUUCGGUAGGAUUUUUAAAACUUAGGUGAGCACUUGGCUNNNNNNNNNNNNNNNNNNNNNNNNNNNNNNNNNNNNNNNNNNNNNNNNNNNNNNNNNNNNNNNNNNNNNNNNNNNNNNNNNNNNNNNNNNNNNNNNNNNNNNNNNNNNNNNNNNNNNNNNNNNNNNNNNNNNNNNNNNNUUUUUAUCACUUAGGCGAGCACCGGCUGCAGCUAAGCCCCCGAGUGAGAGGCAGACUAAUCACUCGAUAGGAUUUUUAUCACUUAGGCGAGCACUGGGCUGCAGCUAAGCCCCCGAGUGAGAGGCAGACUCAUCACUCGGUAGGAUUUUUGUCACUUAGGCGAGCACUGAGCUGCAGCUAAGCCCCCGAGUGAGAGGCAGACUCACCACUCGGUAGGAUUUUUAUCACUUAGGCAAGCACUAGGCUGCAGCUAAGCCCCCGAGUGAGAGGCGGACUCACCACUGGGUAGGAUUUUUAUCACUUAGGUUCAGACGAAAUAGAUUCGCGGCUAAAGUAGCAUACACAGAAAGAAAUAAAUAACAACCACUCGGAAGGAGUAAAUUAUGUCUUUUGAUAAUUAAGCUAACAGGUAUCUCUUAUUACAUCCGAUCGGUUUAACUAUUUAAGAAUAGAAACAUCAGAGCAGAGCCGUAUUCCAGGCGCGCGGCUCAUCUCUAUUGUGUUCAACGUUGAAGAGACGGUAUGCUCCAUUGUGGAGCACCUUGGUGAUGACGAAAGGGCCUUCCCAAGCAGGGGUGAGCUUGUGUGGCCUUUGUUGAUCCACUCGGAGGACCAAGUCCCCUUCCUAGAAUGCACGACCCCUUACGUUCUUGGCGUGGAAUCGACGUAAGUCUUGCUGAUAAAUAGUCGACCGGAUCAAAGCCAUCUCUUUCUCUUCCUCCAAGAGGUCGACUGCGUCUUGUCGAGCUUGCUCUAGUUCUUCUACUGAGAAGAGUUCGACCCGGGGAGCGUUGUGGAGGAAAUCGCUCGGCAAAAUGGCUUCGGCUCAGUAGACCAAAAAGAAUGGAGUCCGUCUAGUCGACCGAUUGGGGGUUGUCCUCAGUCCCCAGAGCACCGACGGGAGCUCGUCAACCCAAGCCCCUGCCGCGUGGUUGAGGUCACGCAUUAGACGAGGCUUCAUCCCUUUGAGAAUCAAUCCAUUCGCUCGCUCAGCUUGUCCAUUCGACUUGGGGUGGGCGACUAAAGCGUAAUCUACCCUUGUGCCCUGGGAGGCGCAAAAAGUUUUGAACUCUUCUGAAUCAAAGUUCGAGCCGUUGUCCGUGAUGAUCCUGUGCGGGACGCUGAUAGAGGCGGGGGUGUCCCGAUCUUUCGAUGAGAUGAUAACUAUCGAUUUGGUGGAGCCGACUUUGACGAUCCGACUACAAACGUGCACGACGUUGCGCCUUAGCAAUCGCUAAACCAGUCUCCUGAGGUUACUAACGAUGCCGGAAGCACGGUCAGCCUGACCACGAAGGUCUAUUCCUGCAAGCAAUCGAAGAACUAGCAAAAAUAUGAUAACGCAAUCUGAAUAUUGCAAAUAUAUAUGAAGUAUCGGUAAUGGUGGGGAUCCGUAAGUGGUCUUGGUCUGGUCGUUGGACACAAACGAAGUACACGGAAUUGCAAUGGCUAACUUUUAACUAAAAAAAUCCCUAGGAAAAACCUACUAGAUGGAUCUACUUAUAUAGGAGGAAGGGUUGGCGGCCAAGGAGGUGGGAGAACGUCCCAAGGCAUCCUAAAACCAACCCAAGGUCGUACAAGGCUCAUGGGCCCAAGUGGAGGUGAUGCAACACCUUUGGACUUGUUGUUUGACUCAGAUUCUGCUGCAGCGUCUGAUUGUUUUGUCGAUAUCUCAACCCUUCAGACGAAUUCGAAGGUGAAUCCAAUUGGGCUAGAAAGAGCACAAAAUCUAGAUUCCAAAAAAAAGAAUCACCCUAUUCGGAGUCCGUAUGAAAAAGUUGUUGGCAUUUUGAGUCAGGUAUGUCUGUGCAGUCUGAAUCUGAAUCCAGAACAUGAGAGACUUGGACUCUAUCUUCUCUUGGCCCAAAAGUGGCGUGAGAGAACUUUUUGAACAGCAAGUAAACAUCUCUUUCUCCCUUAUCUUCAUAUGUGAAUUGUACAAAGGUCCCAUACACAUGCAAUUAGACAAAACACAAAAGUGUGUGAAGUAUUUUUGUUCUAGAUAACAUAAAUAGAUUAUUGAAUAGUUUGAACUAGAAAUCACCUGACAAAUAUGAAUGUAUGCAAUAUUUUUGGUCGUAUCCAAGGUAGUCAUGGCCUCGUCAUCCUCCCCUUUUUGAAAACAAAGCCGUCCUCGGCGUUGCUUAAUCUGAAAUGUGGCUAACAAAAGAGACAAUGUAUACAUGUUGUAUAUGUAUAUGUCAUCCAUUUUUAUUUCCCUUAAUUUUUGCACAUAUGACACAUGUAUACAUGAGUAACUUUCAUAGAUCAUAAAAUAUAAAGCGAAAAUAUUAUCAUAAGUAGAAGGCAUGAAAAUAUUGCAACUCAGUUUGCACAUAUAAGUGAAGCCCUUAUUCCUAUCAAAAGAUUGACAAUAUUCAUCAUUAAACCAUCCCAACAGUGAUGAAUAAACCUUACGUGCAUCAAAUUUACAUGCUACAACAUGCUUAAAUAAUAAAACAUGCAAUAAGUCAUUUGACACAGAAUGAUCUCCAAGAUUAGAGGUCAUAUCAAAAUGGUUAAAUAUUGGCACAAUUAUUUUAAAAUGUAUUUGAUCCAAAUCUGAUUUAUUUCCUAAUGCACAUGGUUCUUUGACAUCAACAGUUAAUUCAAUGGGUGCACUCAAAAUUGUUGGUAUUUUAGUUGUUUGAUCACAUGAUGUAUUCAUGAUAGUAACAUGAUUCUCUAAAAUAGGUGUUGUGCUCAAAUCACCAGGUAACUUAACACAUGAUGCAUUCAAGUUAACUAGGGAUGCAUCAUUCUCAUGUGAAGUUAUAUCAUCAAUACAUUUACUGUUACCUUGUCGCAAAGACGUAGCUGAUGUAGGUACGGACGUUGACAAUGCACCAUACUCUUGAGAUGAUGUCGCGCUCACAAUCCGAGGUGGGACUGCUCUAGUAGGUGCAACGGUGGAGGAACCAACCAGCGGUGGUGAGCAUGAACUGGAAUAGUAGUUGUUGUAGUCACCCAAUGCAUCCUCCUGUAUCUGUCUCUCACAGGUACAAGCACAAACAUAGAUACCAGUAAUGCAACGAGGAAUAUAGUGAAAUCUUGCACGGAUAUCAUGGUUCAAACCACCCAAAAAUCUAUUCAUUGUAUCAUCCUCAGAUUCUUCUAUGUCACAAUGAUGCAUAUAAGAUUUGAACUCUUGGUAGUAAGCAUGAACAGUGUUGUUGCCUUGUUUCAAUUGUUCAAAUUUGCGAAGCAAUUCACGAUGAUAGUAAGGAGGGAAAAUUGUUGUCUCAUUACAUCUUUCAAAUGUUUCCAAGUUGUGGGUUGGUUAUCAUUGUUUUUCUUACAAUGCACACUCCACCAAACAGAAGCAAAACCAGUAAAUGCUCUAGUGGCAGCGUGUACUCGCUCAAGUUCAAAAAAGUCAUGGUGACUAAAAACUUGUUCAACUUCAAGCUCCCAAGCAAGAUAAAUAGCAGGAUUAAAUCUACCCUCAAAUGACGGUAAAGAGAUAACCUGACCAUGUGCUUGUGUGUGUUGUCCCAACUCUCGUGAUGGUGGAGAUGUGUCCGUCAUCCAAGAACUUCUAUCUCCGGAACCUAUCAUGAUUAGUAGAAACAAGAAACAAAAUUCGAGAAUAAUGUUCCUAUGAACUACUAGGAUGUGGUGGUAAAACACUCACAGUAUAGCAAAUAUCAAUAUCUUACAAGUUCUUACCAUGCAGCAGGUGGUGACAGGCAACCAUCGGUGUCAAGUAACUCUGAAGAUUGUGUAAAGGGAUUGCCAGGGGGAACGUACGUAUACACGGUGUAGAAAUAUGUGGAGCUGUGUUGGCUAUAUAUGGUAGCAAUUUUUUAGCAAUAAUCAAUUCAAAGAUGCAAUGUUGAAUAAACGCUCAACGACAGUACUGUGCUGGUCCUAGGCUAGACCGGACUAGAGACGCGAGCCUAGAACACUAAUGAGGUCACGAUGUAGCACAACUAUCAUCAAUAAAGGAUACUAAGUAGCUCUGGACAACAAGAUAUAAGUGAAGAUCACAACAGCAAUGAAGAUAAUGAUGAAAAACAACUGCCAAGCAGGAUAUACAACAACUCUCUCUCCAACUUUCAUCUUGAAAAGUUUGAGCCAAUUUUCUGAUAAUUUUUUUUCAAAGAAUGAUACUAACUCAAUCUUUCCAAUGCAAAAAUAAUUACUCAAUUCCGAAGUGAUAUGAGGACUCAAAGAAUUCUAAAGAUGGCCUGAACAAUUGAAACAAGUUGUGUUCACGAACUUCGGAGGGCAAAAAGACCUAUUUAGACCACGAUUUUGAGGUAUCAAAUGUUGAACAAUCUUGUGCAACUAUUUAGAUGCGGCUCGUCGCUAGCUUUAAUUUGAUUACUCACGGAGCCAAAACGGACUUCGUAUGAGGAAGAUACACCUGUUUUACUGAACAGUGCGCAAAACAGAUUCCAAUCCGAAUCCAGGUACGAGAUUGAUUCUAGAUAGAUCCGAAUUUUUUUUCUCUUUUUUUUCUCACACUUUUUUUUCUUUUUCUUCUCUCUCUUUUUCUUUUUCUUAUUUCCUUUUUUUCUCUAUCUUUUUUUCUCCCUCUUUCCAAGACAAACUAGAUAAGAUGCAGAUUGGAUCACACGAAGAUGUGAAUGACCUCAACUAUGAUUAUGACAAUGAUCAGUGCGUAGCACGUGGUGGAAAUUGAUGGAUGGGAUGGUGGACAGCGGAAGGGAUAAUGAUGCAGCGGCGGCGUGACUAAUGUGAACAGAAUUUGAAACUUUAAAAGAACUAGACACUAAGACCAG
rnacentral:lncRNA from 1 species